rnacentral:rRNA from 1 species
AUUCCAGCUCCAAUAGCGUGUAUUUAAGUUGCUGCAGUUAAAAAGCUCGUAGUUGGAUUCCGGGCGGUUGACGACGGUCCGCCUCUGGUGUGCACUGCCGUUCUUCCGCCUUUCUGUCGGGGACGUGCUCCUAGGCUUCAUUGUCUGGGACACGGGUUCGACGUGGUUACUUUGAGUAAAUUAGAGUGUUCAAAGCAGGCAUCGCCUUGAAUAUAUUAGCAUGGAAUAGCACGAUAGGACUCUGGCCUAUUUUGCUGGUCUGUAGGACCGGAGUAAUGAUUAAGAGGGACAGUCGGGGGCAUUCGUAUUUCAUUGUCAGAGGUGAAAUUCUUGGAUUUAUGAAAGACGAACUUCUGCGAAAGCAUUUGCCAAGGAUGUUUUCAUCA